rnacentral:misc_RNA from 1 species
AACGCAUCUUGCGCUCCUUGGUAUUCCAAGAAGCAUGCCUGUUUGAGUGUCAUCACAAAAGUCAAGCCAUGUCUGAAAGGAACAUGGCUUUGGAUAUGGGGUUACUUGCAGGCCCUUUGAAAAGAAGUCUGCUACCCUCAAAUGUAUUAGUGGCUACCCAACUACUAAAGGUGUAAUAAUUAUCUAUGCCUUUGUAGUGUUUUGUGUUUAAGCUGCUUCUAAUAAAGUACAAAAUGAUUUGAUAGGCCUCAAAUCAGGUAGGACUACCCGCUGAACUUAA